CGCGGGGUGGAGCAGCCUGGUAGCUCGUCGGGCUCAUAACCCGNGGGCUCAUAACCCGAAGGUCGUCGGUUCAAAUCCGGCCCCCGCAACCA
rnacentral:tRNA from 1 species